CUUACAUCAGUCAAUAAAGCGACCUUCCCCUCGAUCAAUAGAAUUCUUUAGCCCGUCUUCUAUUUUCGUAAACCAUAUAUAAGAGUCAAACCUUCCAUUUGCAAAGGGAAUUUAAUAAAAUGUGACAUGGAAUACCAAAACUCAAUUUCGAGUUGCGACUCUAGAUAAUAAAUAAUCUCUUUUCAAAAAGUCACUUUAUUUGAGAAAUUCUUCUAACUCAACCUCGUAAUAAGGAUUGCGGUAAAAAGAGGUGUCACAGGAGCAUGGUUUGAGCUCCGUUUUGCUGGACUCACUGGCAGGUCACCGGAUUAACUUUCUCGUCAAAUUGAAGGUGAAGUCUGGAUGCGGUUGGUCUAGGUGGCUGUGUAUCUAUGUGUGUCACUAUUAAGAGAUGAAGAUGGAUUUAUUGGGGCGAGAGUGACAGAGGAGUUCUCAGAGAUGGUGGGGUGCUGCCCUCAUUCUCCCAAAGUGAAAGAGAUGGUGGAAUUAUGGGUUUCUGCGGAGGGUGUCCUUCAGAGUAGGGGUCGCUAGUUUUUCUUCAGGUCUAUGCGGCUCCCCCCCUCUUUUAGGUCUAGGGUUCUUUAAGAAGAACGAAGGGUUAU
rnacentral:lncRNA from 1 species